UACGGAGGAUCCAAGCGUUAUCCGGAUUUAUUGGGUUUAAAGGGUGCGUAGGCGGAUUGAUAAGUUAGAGGUGAAAUGUCCGAGCUCAACUCGGGAACUGCCUCUAAUACUGUUGAUCUAGAGAGUAGAUGCGGUAGGCGGAAUGUAUGGUGUAGCGGUGAAAUGCUUAGAGAUCAUACAGAACACCGAUUGCGAAGGCAGCUUACCAAUCUAUAUCUGACGCUGAGGCACGAAAGCGUGGGGAGCAAACAGG
rnacentral:rRNA from 1 species